rnacentral:rRNA from 1 species
AACGUAGGACGCAAGCGUUAUCCGGAUUUACUGGGCGUAAAGGGCGCGUAGGCGGCCACCGCAAGUCGGUUGUGAAAUCUCUGGGCUUAACCCAGAAAGGUCAACCGAUACUGCGGGGCUAGAGUGCAGAAGGGGCAACUGGAAUUCUCGGUGUAGCGGUGAAAUGCGUAGAUAUCGAGAGGAACACCUGCGGCGAAGGCGGGUUGCUGGGCUGACACUGACGCUGAUGCGCGAAAGCUAGGGGAGCGAACGGG